rnacentral:rRNA from 1 species
AGGCAGCAGUGGGGAAUAUUGGACAAUGGGCGCAAGCCUGAUCCAGCAAUACCGCGUGUGUGAAGAAGGCCUGAGGGUUGUAAAGCACUUUCAAUAGAGACGAAAAGCCUAGGGUUAAUAGCUCUGGGUCUUGACUUAACCUAUAGAAGAAGCACCGGCUAACUCCGUGCCAGCAGCCGCGGUAAUACGGAGGGUGCAAGCGUUAAUCGGAAUUACUGGGCGUAAAGCGCUCGUAGGCGGUUUGUUAAGUCGGAUGUGAAAGCCCCGGGCUCAACCUGGGAACUGCAUUCGAUACUGGCAAACUAGAGUAUAGAAGAGGCAAGUGGAAUUCCAGGUGUAGCGGUGAAAUGCGUAGAUAUCUGGAGGAACAUCAGUGGCGAAGGCGACUUGCUGGUCUAAUACUGACGCUGAGGAGCGAAAGCGCGGGGAGCAAACGGGAUUAGAUACCCCGGUAGUCCACGCCGUAAACGAUGUCAACUAGCCGUUGGGGGUCUUAGUACCUUUAGUGGCGCAGCUAACGCAUUAAGUUGACCGCCUGGGGAGUACGGUCGCAAGACUAAAACUCAAAUGAAUUGACGG